rnacentral:rRNA from 1 species
CCUACGGGAGGCAGCAGUGGGGAAUUUUGGACAAUGGGCGCAAGCCUGAUCCAGCUAUUCCGCGUGUGGGAUGACGGCCUUCGGGUUGUAAACCACUUUUGUAGAGAACGAAAAGCCUGUUGAUAAUACCGAUUGAUGAUGACGGUACUAUAAGAAUAAGCACCGGCUAACUACGUGCCAGCAGCGGCGGUAAUACGGAGGGUGCGAGCGUGGAUCGGAAUUACUGGGUGGAAAGGGUGUGCAGGUGGCUUUUCAAGAUGGAUGUGAAAGCCCCGGGCUUAACCCGGGAAAGCCAUACAUGACUGGAAGACUAGAGUGCGUCAGAGGGGGGUGGAAUUCCAAGUGGAGCAGUGAAAUGCGUAGAUAUUUGGAAGAACACCGAUGGCGAAGGCAGUCUCCUGGGACGGAACUGACGCUCAUACACGAAAGCGUGGGGAGCAAACAGGAUUAGAUACCCCUGUAGUC